AGAGUUUGAUUAUGGCUCAGGAUGAACGCUAGCUACAGGCUUAACACAUGCAAGUCGAGGGGCAGCAUGGUCUUAGCUUGCUAAGGCUGAUGGCGACCGGCGCACGGGUGAGUAACGCGUAUCCAACCUUCCCCUUAGUAGGGCAUAGCCCGGCGAAAGUCGGAUUAACACCCUAUGUUUUCCGUUGCGGGCAUCUAAUAUGGAACAAAGAUUUAUCGCUAAGGGAUGGGGAUGCGUCUGAUUAGGUAGUAGGCGGGGUAACGGCCCACCUAGCCCUCGAUCAGUAGGGGUUCUGAGAGGAAGGUCCCCCACAUUGGAACUGAGACACGGUCCAAACUCCUACGGGAGGCAGCAGUGAGGAAUAUUGGUCAAUGGCCGAGAGGCUGAACCAGCCAAGUAGCGUGCAGGACGACGGCCCUAUGGGUUGUAAACUGCUUUUAUGCGGGGAUAAAGUCGCCCACGUGUGGGUGUUUGCAGGUACCGCAUGAAUAAGGACCGGCUAAUUCCGUGCCAGCCGCCGC
rnacentral:rRNA from 1 species